AUUUGCUGGAGAAAAGAAUAUCUUGAAACGACUUGUCUGGGAAAGGAUGGAAAUUAACCUCUGGUUCUCUUGAACUGGCUCGCUGGCUGGAUGACUCAUCGGGAGCACACGAGGAUAAGGGUUCUAACUGGCUGGAGAAACAAUUUUCGUCAUGUAGAGCUAUCCAGAAAAGAAGAAGCCCACGUUACAACUUGGACUAAACAGUAUAUUUUGAUGGUUUAUAAGGGGAAAAAGCUGUCUCACAAUGGCUUACUGGUUUUGGUGGGUAGACCAACUUUCGUCUCAUCCGUAACCCUUGUUUCCAGGGCAGCGUCUUCCUUCAGAAAAAACCAGCCUUUAGCAGUGAACGAAAAUGGCUUCCAAUCCCAAGUAACACCGCUGAGCUCUUGACAGCUGAGGUGUUCUCUUGUGAGGAAAAUGAAGUUUACGGAAGCUUCUGGAACAUCUGUAGGGUGGCUCUCACAGACAGGAGCCCUAGUCCAUGCAGGACUUCUCCACGCUCCUGGUUAGGGAUCCAGACAGCUCAGGCUCUGCCCAGAGGCUGCAGCCACCGGACAUGUGCGCUCGGAGCCCACAGGAAGCCUCUCGGUGCUCCCCGUGGGCAAACUCUGGAGACGGUGGGAACUUGCUCUUAAAAUCACAGCCGCACCAUUAUUUAUUGAAAAGGAAGGGGUGAUUUAUUAUUUCUUCCACAUACACGGCCAUGGAAAUUUUUGGUCAAGUGUACGAUGACCUGGGGAAAAGCUUCACCUGGGGUGGGGAGGAGGCAGUGAGGAGGAAAAGGAGAAAAAAAAUCGAGGCUGUGUAAGCACACAGGUCAGCUGACACUUCAGCCCCUCUUGUCACAUUGCAAAGAGCUCUCUCAUUUUGAAGGUCACCCAUAAACCAGACGUAGCACGGACUAUAACAGUGCUUGAAGGGUAGGAGCGUACAUAUGUUUACUCAGGAUUGAUGGCUACAGGGCAAUAUGGAGUUCAUGUGCGUGCAUGUGCGCAUGUGCGCGUGUGAGUGUGUAUGUGUGCCUGCACACAUGUGUGGGGGCCACAGCCUGUGGCUUCCUCUUACAAGGACUUUUAAUCUUCUCUUAUAGUGAGGGCAACCACAGAUGGCUCAAAAAAUAAGCAAGAUUAAAAAUAUCAAGGUGAUAAAUUGUGAUUGUAUUAAUUUACUAAAACGGUCAUAACAAAAAACCACAGACUGGGCAGCUCUAACAACAGAAAUUCACUGUCUCGCACUCUGGAGGCUGGAAGUCCAAGAUGCACGUGUCUGGAGGCUGUUCUCUCCCGAGGCCUCUCCCCUUGUCCCCUUCUCUCUGUGUCCGCACAGGGUCUGCGCGUGUCUGCGUCCUGAUCAGCUCUUCCAAUAGGCACCCCGGUCAGAAUGGAUUAGGACCCACCCUAAUGACCUCGUUUUACUAAAUUGCCCCUUUAAAGGCUCUGUCUCCAAAUACAGUCCCAUUCUGAGGUACUGGGUGUAGGACGUCAACAUAGGAAUUUUGGUGGCAGGGGGCACAAUUUGGCCCAUAACAAAGAUUUGAAGCCUCUAUAGUAGAAUAAAGGAUGCACAGCAUCUAGCA
rnacentral:lncRNA from 1 species